GGUGCCAACGGUAUAGUAAACACUGCUCCAGCCGUGGUGGAAAGUGUCAGUACGCUGGCGACACUUGCAAUGGCGAAUACGUAAACGGUGGUGAAUGCCCUGGAGGAGACAACUGUCAGUGCUGCCUCCGGUGCAAACAGUAUAGUAAACAGUGCUCCAGCCGUGGUGGAAAGUGUCAGUACGCUGGCGGCACAUGCAAUGGCGGAUAUGUCAAGGAUAAAUGCCUUGAAAAAGACAACUGUCAGUGCUGCCUCCCCUGUAAGCAGGGUGGAAAGUGUCAGGCGCUUGGUGAGAUGUGUCAGGAAAAGAACAACCCGAACGUGACAUGCAACGGAAAAUACUACCCGGACAUGUGCUCCGUGGAUGCAGAAAACUGUCAGUGCUGCAUUGAAUGCAAACAGAAUACAAACUGUUCGAUAUUUGGUGGAGUAUGCCAGUACGUUGGUGAGAAAUGCAGAGGAACGUACUUCCCAUACCAGUGCUCUGAAAAACUCCACUGUCAGUGCUGCG